rnacentral:rRNA from 1 species
UACAGAGGGGGCAAGCGUUAUUCGGAAUUAUUGGGCGUAAAGGGCGCGUAGGCGGCCUAGCAAGUGGCAGGUGAAAUCCCUCGGCUUAACCGAGGAACUGCCUGCCAGACUGCCUGGCUCGAGACCGGGAGAGGUGAGUGGAAUUCCCAGUGUAGCGGUGAAAUGCGUAGAUAUUGGGAGGAACACCAGUGGCGAAGGCGGCUCACUGGACCGGAACUGACGCUGAGGCGCGAAAGCGUGGGGAGCAAACAGG